CCCUUAGAUGUCCUGGGCCGCACGCGUGCUACAAUGGCGUUUCCAGCAAGUCUGCGAACCCGAGAGGGCCAGCGGAUCUUCGAAUUGGCGUCGUGAUCGGGACAGUCGAUUGCAAUUAUUUGACUCAAACGAGGAAUUCCUUGUAAUCGCGAUUCAUCAUAUCGCGCUGAAUACGUCCCUGCCCUUUGUACUCACCGCCCGUCGCUCCUACCGAUUGAGCGAUCCGGUAAAUGUUUUGGAUUGGUGCCGGGGCGGCUAGCUGCCGGUCGCUACGAAAUUUUGUGAACCUUAUCGCUUAGAGGAAGGAAAAGUCGUAACA
rnacentral:rRNA from 1 species